UGGUUCGGGCAUCGAUGAAGAACGCAGCGAAAUGCGAUAAGUAAUGUGAAUUGCAGAACUCAGUGAAUCAUCGAAUCUUUGAACGCACAUUGCGCCCAUCAGUACUCUGGUGGGCAUGCCUGUUCGAGCGUCAUUUCAACCCUCAGGCCCUGUUAAGCCUGGCGUUGGGGCUCUUUGCGGCGCCUCGGCGCCCGCAAGCCCCCAAGAUCAGUGGCGGACUCCGCCGUGCACCUCAGCGCAGUACAUACUAUCGCUCGGGAUCACGGCGGGCCUCUCGCCGCAAAACUCACCACAUUUACAAGGUUGACCUCGGAUCAGGUAGGAAUACCCGCUGA
rnacentral:misc_RNA from 1 species